GAUGAACGAUGGCGGCGUGCCUAAUACAUGCAAGUCGAGCGAACGGACGAGAAGCUUGCUUCUCUGAUGUUAGCGGCGGACGGGUGAGUAACACGUGGAUAACCUACCUAUAGGACUGGGAUAACUUCGGGAAACCGGAGCUAAUACCGGAUAAUAUUUUGAACCGCAUGGUUCAAAAGUGAAAGACGGUCUUGCUGUCACUUAUAGAUGGAUCCGCGCUGCAUUAGCUAGUUGGUAAGGUAACGGCUUACCAAGGCAACGAUGCAUAGCCGACCUGAGAGGGUGAUCGGCCACACUGGAACUGAGACACGGUCCAGACUCCUACGGGAGGCAGCAGUAGGGAAUCUUCCGCAAUGGGCGAAAGCCUGACGGAGCAACGCCGCGUGAGUGAUGAAGGUCUUCGGAUCGUAAAACUCUGUUAUUAGGGAAGAACAUAUGUGUAAGUAACUGUGCACAUCUUGACGGUACCUAAUCAGAAAGCCACGGCUAACUACGUG
rnacentral:rRNA from 1 species